AUGCAUGAGCUCUUUGAGGCUCAGAACCAUGCACAGACCAGCUACUCCCUCUAUUACUCUGUGUUCUCCAAGGAUUUCAAUCUUGGCUUCGGUCACCCAGCUACAGAUGCAUGCUCUGAUUGUGUCAAGUACAAGAUCAGGAUUACAGAUCCAAACCUAACUGAGACAGAGAAGAAGAUGGAAUCUGCAUCAUUCAUCUUGCAUCGUCGCAGAGCUCGCAUGUUUUAUGACUUGUUAGGCAGGGUUGCUGAAGGUCAUGUGACCCUCAGUUUUGAUAUGAUGCAAAACAUGGUCCUUCCAAAAACCCCAGUAGGACAGGCCUAUUACUCACGGCAGAUGUAUCUGUUCUCACCAUGGUGUACAACAACACCAAACAGGUACAGUCAACAGGAAAAAGAUGAUGUCCAUCUCUAUGUGUGGCAGGAGAAUGAGAAUAGCAAAGACAGCAAUAUGAUUGCUUCUGCGCUGAGUGACUGCCUCAAGGUUCGACUUCAGGACAAAGUCAGCAGAUCCAGGGGACUUCAGCUGUUCAGCAACUCUUGUUUUGGGCAAAACAAAAACAUGAGCAUGGUGUCAAUGCUCAUGGAACUUCGUCAGCUUUUUCCCAACCUUGGCAUAGAGCAUACCUUUCCAGUAAGGGGCCACAGUUUUCUCCCAGCAGACCGAAUCUUUGGCAGAAUUGAGCAGAAGAUCAGGAAAAUUGACACAAUUCUGCUACCACAGGAAUACCAUGCCAUCCUCCAGCAAUUCGGCUAUGUCCACGUUUACGGCACAGACUGGGAGGCAUUUGAUUAUAGGUCAGCCUCAAAAGAGUGUGUUAAGGCUCAGAAGAGCUUUAAAAUCAGUGAAGCACGCAUGCUUGACUUGAGUACCAACAAGGUUGGUUUAAAGACUGCUUACAAUGGGGAGUAUUGUUUUCAUAGUGUUUUAAAGCAGGGGAAGCGGAGAGCUGACCUAAAACCUGAGUUACUUCCAAAGCGAACCUCUGUGAAGGCAGCAAAGAAGCCCCAUGUGCUGCCAGUAUUAGGAGCAAUAGGUGUGUCUGAUGUAGUGAGGGCUUUUUAUGAUGAUGCACUGUAUCAUGUGACUGACAAUGCAGGCCAUAGUGAUGAAGAUGCAGAGUGA
ensembl:lncRNA